rnacentral:tRNA from 149 species
GUCGGGAUAGCUCAGUUGGUAGAGCAGAGGACUGAAAAUC